UCAGGACGAACGCUGGCGGCGUGCCUAACACAUGCAAGUCGAGCGAUGAAACCCUUCGGGGUGGAUUAGCGGCGGACGGGUGAGUAACACGUGGGUAACCUGCCUCAAAGAGGGGGAUAGCCUCCCGAAAGGGAGAUUAAUACCGCAUAACAUUAUUUCUUCGCAUGAAGAGAUAAUCAAAGGAGUAAUCCGCUUUGAGAUGGACCCGCGGCGCAUUAGCUAGUUGGUGAGGUAAUGGCUCACCAAGGCGACGAUGCGUAGCCGACCUGAGAGGGUGAUCGGCCACAUUGGAACUGAGAUACGGUCCAGACUCCUACGGGAGGCAGCAGUGGGGAAUAUUGCGCAAUGGGGGAAACCCUGACGCAAGCAACGCCGCGUGGGUGAAGAAGGCCUUCGGGUUGUAAAGCUCUGUCUUCUGGGACGAUAAUGACGGUACCAGAGGAGGAAGCCACGGCUAACUACGUGCCAGCAGCAGC
rnacentral:rRNA from 1 species